UACAGGGGGUGCAAACGUUGCUCGGAAUCAUUGGGCGUGAAGCGCACGUAGGCGGUUCGUUAUGUCGGAUGUGAAAGCCCUUGGCUUAACCGAGGAAGUGCAUCCGAAACUGGCGAGCUAGAGUACGAAAGAGGAUCGCGGAAUUCCCGGUGUAGAGGUGAAAUUCGUAGAUAUCGGGAGGAACACCGGUGGCGAAGGCGGCGAUCUGGGUCGAUACUGACGCUGAGGUGCGAAAGCGUGGGGAGCAAACAGG
rnacentral:rRNA from 1 species